AUGUCAAAUUUUGAAUGGGAAUGAUCCUUGGAAGUCUGAAAGGCAUCGAUUUGGGGAACUGGAGGUAACGACUGUAGACCUAGCAAUGGUGGCUUUGUUAUGUUAUGUGACCAAAUGUGCCGAAACGUUGGUCAAGUAACGGUUUUGAGCACGGAUCCUUGAUAUGCAGACUUUUUUAUGCUCAGAUAUGAUUUCCGGCGGUUAAGGCGACUUUACGGCGGGUAAAGGUUGUGGCUGCAGACCACAGUGACUGAUUGGUGGCGGUUGAUAGGAAUCGGAUUUGAAACUAAAAAGAAACGGAUAAAAUAAGAUAGAUCUACGGUUCGUUUGUGAUACAGACACACCACACAAACCAACGAUAGGGCAACGAUAUCCAACCGGAGAUACAGACACACCACUACGGUUAGAGAAUCGGGUCUAAGAACACCACCCAACGUGCCACGGUUGAGCUAGCAUAGACAUAAUCAAUUUAACUCAAAAUCCAUUGAGAUAAAUUAAUCAAAGAGAAAAUUCUCAUACUCAAAACACACUGAUUUUCAU
rnacentral:lncRNA from 1 species